rnacentral:rRNA from 1 species
AUUGAACGCUGGCGGCAGGCCUAACACAUGCAAGUCGAGCGGAUGAAGGGAGCUUGCUCCUGGAUUCAGCGGCGGACGGGUGAGUAAUGCCUAGGAAUCUGCCUGGUAGUGGGGGAUAACGUCCGGAGACGGGCGCUAAUACCGCAUACGUCCUGAGGGAGAAGGUGGGGGAUCUUCGGACCUCACGCUAUCAGAUGAGCCUAGGUCGGAUUAGCUAGUUGGUGGGGUAAAGGCCUACCAAGGCGACGAUCCGUAACUGGUCUGAGAGGAUGAUCAGUCACACUGGAACUGAGACACGGUCCAGACUCCUACGGGAGGCAGCAGUGGGGAAUAUUGGACAAUGGGCGAAAGCCUGAUCCAGCCAUGCCGCGUGUGUGAAGAAGGUCUUCGGAUUGUAAAGCACUUUAAGUUGGGAGGAAGGGCAGUAAGUUAAUACCUUGCUGUUUUGACGUUACCAACAGAAUAAGCACCGGCUAACUUCGUG